rnacentral:snoRNA from 10 species
AUGGCAAGUGAUGAGGACACACUCUAACAUACGUUCACGAGAUGAAAGCUGCAGAACCUGUGCAUGCACUACCAUCUGUCCCCU